GACAGAGGCCUCGAGCGUUAGGCGGAAUCACUGGGCUUAAAGCGUGUGUAGGCGGGCCCGUAAGUGUCUUGUGAAAUCCCACGGCUCAACCGUGGAACUGCUGGGCAUACUGCGGGUCUUGGGCCAACUAGGGGCAGCCGGAACAAGCGGUGGAGCGGUGAAAUGCGUAGAUAUCGCUUGGAACGCCGAAGGUGAAAAACAGGCUGCUGGGGGUUGCC
rnacentral:rRNA from 1 species